UGAGCAACCCAUCAGCAUCCCUAAUCACUAUUCCUACACUUGAUGUCUGCAGGUCACAAUAAAAGCCCCCAUCAAAAUUAGUUUUAACCCGCUACGCCUCUGGAGGUUGCAUCAAAUGGUAUGCUUAUGUGAAACCCUUGGGUAAGUAAUUUGUAGCAAUUCCAGUUCUUUAACAUAGCCCAAUACAAAAGUGCACAAAUCUUGGCAGUCUGUAUUUCCCUUUCAUGUAUCAGCUUGUUUCUUAACAUCUAUAGUGCCCAGAUGGUGAUUGUAAUCAAAGUCUGCUUCUAAUCAUUUGUAAGGUGCAAGCGACUAAGCCAAUGACCGAAUAGUUCCCCAUUCGAGCUCAAAUCCCACCUAAACCCAACUUUUCCCAAACAAGUGCAGCAUAAGGACAGUCACGACAAACAUGCAAACUGGUAUUUGCCUCUAGACCACACCAAUAGCAAGCAGCAUCUGCCACAAGCCUUUUAUGUUGUAGACUAGAUCUAGUUGGCCCAUAAUUAUGUAUUAAUCACCAUGUUGUAAUCUUCAUUUUCUCUAGCACUUUUAUUUGCCACAUUUGUCUGUAUAACUAUCGCUUUUUAGGCUCAAUCUCGCUGUAUAAAUCACUAGUAGUACCAGGGAAUC
rnacentral:lncRNA from 1 species